AUUUAGCACACCUGUAAGUCUGUGAUUCCCCUACUGGAACACAAUCUUCAAGUGGGAUUGGGCAUCUUAUACAUGGAUUUAUCCCACUGUUGAGAUGUAACUCUUCUACUUCGACCCAACUUACAGGAGAUGUUGACCCAUAUUCACGAAACCAGGACUUGUGUGGGACUGCGAAACUUACUUCUGAAUAUUUAUUUCUGUGUGAUUAGGACAUAAAAGUGAGCCCACCUCUUGAGUGAUUUGACUCUCCUUUUUAGGACAUGAUCACAGACGACAUUGUGACAUACGUGGACCAUACACCUAAGCAAAAAUGCCUGGGCCUGCCUACAAAGGGCACUUUUAUAUGUGACUGGCACCAGCACCCAAGUGAUGUGAAUUCUUUGCCUGAUCCCUGACUAUAAAAGGCAUUGUGGCUUAUAUGUAGGUCCCUCAUGAAGGAUUGUAACAUAUCUCUGGACCCAUCAUCUAGUUGCCUGACUCUCCUCUCCUGCCUGGACCCUGCUUCCACUGGGGAUUGUAACACUGUCCACAAGGGGUAUGGUGCCAUACAUCUGGGUGUAACCCCAAGUUAUGCAACUUUUCUGCCAGGAAAAUAUCUACAAGGAGAAUAUUGGAAAAUUUCUGGCUCAGCAUUUAGGUGACUUGGCUGUCGUGCCUGUUUCAUUACUACAGAGUAAAUUGUGACAUAUGCCUAGGAACAGUUCACAGGCAUGAUAAUGACUCUCAUAUGUGGACCCCACAAACAGGAGUAAUUUUGACUCUCAAAACUUGUUUUAGAAACAUGAGUGAUUAAAUCUCUUUCUGGUUAAAAAAAAAAAACAACAAAGAAGAUUAUAACAGCGUCAGAUAUUUUAUAAAGCCCUGGACUUGUACACAGAGUGUCAUAACAGAACCCAGCAGAAAGGUAAAAUUUUGAGUCUAAAAUGCACACCUACCUGACAGUAAGGACUGUCAUUGUCUCACAUAUGUGAAGCCAACUGUCACGCAUGAAAACAGGACAUGCGUGGUAUUGUACAUCUCAUCCUGGGAAUUUUCUGCCAGUGUGAUUGUGAUAUAUAUCUUUGCCGAGCACCUGUGUGAUUCGACUCUCCAGACUGGUUAGAGCUGGCAUAUGUUAUUGUGAUAUCUACCUGGGCCAAUCUCUAGGUGAUGUGACUGUCCUGCCUGGGCUCUGCUCUCGGUAAGAAUCAUAACAUAUCACUAGAUCCAGCACCCAGGUCAUGUCACAUUUUUGCCUGAGCCAUGUCCGCAGAAAUCACUGUGACAUAUCACUGUGUCCACCACUUAGGUGACAUAACUUUCCUCAUUAGAAUGGGCCCUGAACACUAUGGGGGAUAGUGACAUAUGGCUGGGCCAGGCACACAGGUGAUGGUACUCUUUUGCUAGGGCCAUGUCCUAAAGAGAGCACUAUGAUACAUCACAAGGUGAUGUUGAUCUCCAGCUUGGGUCUUGCUUACCUGGAUAGUGACAUAUUGCUAGUCUAGGCACACAGGUGAUGGUAGUCUUUCAGCAGGGCCCUGCCUCAAGGAGCACAUUGUGACAUCUCUCUGGGUCUAUCACCUAGGUGAUGUGACUCCCUGCUCAGGCCCUGCCCACAUGGAGCAUUGUGACAUAAGAGUAGAACCUGCACCUAUUUGUUGUAACUCUCUUGCCAGGGUCCUGCCCUAAGGGAGCCUUGUGACAUAGUUCAAAACCCAGUAUCAAGGUGAUGUGGCUCUUCUGCCUGCUUUGACCUCACAUGUUAGGUUGUGUCAUAUAGCUAGAGAAUCACCUAGAUGAUAUGAGUCUUCUCUUCUGCCUGACUCUUGCCUAUUUGGGACAUUGGUCCAGAUAUCUGAGGUUGUGUCCUAAGUGAUAUGACACUUUUGUUCUGCCAGAACCUUUACAAUGGGGUCACAUGGCAUAUUGCUAAGCCCAAUACUUAGGUAAUAUGAUUCUACUUUUUUUCCUGAACCAUGCCCAUGAAAAGUAAUUUUGAUGUAUUGCAGGGCCUAGCACCCAGAUGAUGUUCCUCUUCUGCCUGGGUCCUGCAUAAAGAGAAUUACGGCAUAUUGCUAGGCCUCCCACUCUGAUGGUGUAACUCUCCUGCUUGUGCCAGAGCAACAGAAAGUAUUUUUACAUAUCUUGGGCCUAUUCUGUAGCUGGUUUGGCUCUCAUCAUUUUUCUUUUUUUUUUUUUUUUUUUUCCACAUUUGGGAUUGUGUCAUAUUGCUGGGUCCAGCACCCAGGUAAUGCAACCCUGAUUUCUAGAUCCUUCCUAGAGAGGGCAUUGUGACAUAUUGCUUGGCACAGCACC
rnacentral:lncRNA from 1 species